UAUAAAUGCAAUAUUUCAAAUGUGUCAGAUAUCAAGUCAAUAAACAAUAAAUUUGCUUAUUUUUUGGUGCACCAUAUCUAUUUUAUAGAAAGUAGAUAUAUUUUAGUCACAGUAUUUUAGAGUAUACAUAUCAAGAAAAUAUUGGAUUGUAUAAAAGAAACUCCUGGUAAGGCGCCCUCAAACAAAA
rnacentral:lncRNA from 1 species